rnacentral:rRNA from 1 species
GGGGUGUUAGGGCACGACACCGGAGAGGGAGCCUGAGAAACGGCUACCACAUCCAAGGAUGGCAGCAGGCGCGCAAAUUACCCAAUCCCGACACGGGGAGGUAGUGACAAUAAAUAACAAUACGGGGUUCUUUAGGAUCUCGUAAUUGGAAUGAGUACAAUUUAAAUCUCUUAACGAGGAACAAUUGGAGGGCAAGUCUGGUGCCAGCAGCCGCGGUAAUUCCAGCUCCAAUAGCGUAUAUUAAAGUUGUUGCAGUUAAAAAGCUCGUAGUUGAAUUUCGGGGUUAGUAGGUUGGUCAUGCCUCUGGUAUGUACUGGUCUCACUGAUUCCUCCUUCCUGAUGAACCUUAAUGCCAUUAAUUUGGUGUUUUGGGGAAUUUGGACUGUUACUUUGAAAAAAUUAGAGUGUUUAAAGCAAGCUAACGCUUGAAUACAUUAGCAUGGAAUAAUGAAAUAGGACGUUCGAUCCUAUUUUGUUGGUUUCUAGGAUUGACGUAAUGAUUAAUAGGGAUAGUUGGGGGCAUUAGUAUUCAAUUGUCAGAGGUGAAAUUCUUGGAUUUAUUGAAGACUAACUACUGCGAAAGCAUUUGCCAAGGAUGUUUUCAUUAAUCAAGAACGAAAGUUAGGGGAUCGAAGACGAUCAGAUACCGUCGUAGUCUUAACCAUAAACUAUGCCGACUAGGGAUCGGAUGAUGUUAAUUUUUUAAUGACUCAUUCGGCGCCUUACGGGAACCAG